CGCUCUGCUGGGGAGUCUGGAGACAUGGGUGCUAAUGGGGGACCAGGGGAGGAAUGGCUCCUUGAAGUUCCCAUCCGGGCCCAGCUCUGAGAGUCUUCCAAGUUUCCAGUGAGUCGUAGCAGCCCGGAGCAGAGCAGCUGCUGGGGAUUACUCAGCCAGACGCACUGCUGUUCUCAGCCCGCUGGCGCGGCUCCAAGGUCAAGCUGGACAGAACUGGACACAAAGCAGAGCAAACCCUUUGCAAGCCCUGAAUGAUUGUGCACAUCACAUGGUACCAGGAGGAAACGGACUAAGAAAAUACCCCGACUGGAAGACCAUUGCAAUGAAGAGCCUCACCAGAGCCUGAACUCCCAGGCAUUUUGGAAAACAGUUGGAAGGAAGCCAAGCAGUGCUAGAGUAUGUGCUUCUGGCCUUUUGGCUCAGAUCAAGUGUCUUGUGGACUAAGAUCAAGUGAUAGUAUCUGAAUCCCAAGGCCUCCAGGCUUAGGCCUGCAUAUAAGAUGACUGCCAAUGGAUUUGGGAGUAUCUGAAGUCCCAGGGGGAGAGCCUGGGAUGAAGGAUACUCACUAACUGUAGCACCAUACAUGGUAUUUAGAAAGGGUUUUGGAACGAUUGAGUUCUGCUCAAUUGAUAUGAUUUGGAAUUGAUUUGGUUGACUUGACCCGGAACAUGGAAUAUAUAUUUUUAAAAACGUGGAAGCAAUGAGUACCAGUUCAAAGGCAGGCAGAUGUGCUUAAUGGUUCUCCGGUCACUUGGGCAGAGGAGGCUAACAAUGCUGAAUGGAACUGGAGGAGUGCUACCAUCCCCAUGGGAAUGAACCAUGUGAAAGAGGAUUUGAAGUACAGGGCAUAGAAAACAGGUGAAACCCUAGAAGAGUCAGCAACUGGCUAAAGAGCCAAUCCUGCAAUUCUGUGGGGAGUAACUUGAUCCCUGAUUAAAAAGCAAAAACAAAUCUCUGUUAGGAUCCUAAACAAAACACGCUGGGUUCAGAUACACAUCAUGAUUACUACAGAGUCAUGUAUCUGGCUUUUUACUCAGUUCCAAGCAGCGGGCAGGUGACAUGAGAGCAGUUCUGUCAAACUGGCUGUGGCAGCAGGUGAUAUUACAGGGCCUGGCCACUAGGUACACCAGGUUUGCAGGCAGCAAACAUCUGGCCUGUGAUGAUGACAUUGUCCAGAGCAGCAUCGCCCAACCAACUGGCCCUGAAGAUUGGACGAAGGGUAUGGGGCUGCAGGCCGGAUCCUAUGUGCGGGGUCGGUCCGUGGGUCUGAUCUAGCAUGUGGUCUGCUGUGGGGUCAACCUCUCAUGCUGGCCCAGCUCUGUGCUGGAUUCAGCCAUGGGCCAACCUCAUGCUGGCAUGAUCCGGUGUGAUGGACCGUGUCAUCCAGCCUGCGGGGCUCCCUGGUAGUUCAGAAAUUUUAAAGUGGCAGAGUGGUGGCAGCUUUAAUUGCCGCAGCUGCCAGAGCAUACAGCAACCUUUUCAGCUGCGGGCUGGAAUGACCCAGUUUGGGUUAGAAAAGGGUGGCAGGCACUUGGACUUGGCCACUGCCGCUGUCACUUUUCCACUCAUUUGCCCGUUACACUUUUACCACAGAGUUUAGUCAUUUUAAUCCAGAAUAAGUGUGUUGUGUCCAAUCAGGGAAAGAUUACUAGAGAAGGAACCCUUGACCAGGCAACUAUAAUUUGCCAAGUCACAGAAGUCACCCGGUCCAAAAAAAGCACCUGGUGGGUAGACAGUGCUCCAACACGGUAGACAUGAUCGCGAUCCCAAAAUACUGCAAGAGAGACCUGAGACAGAAACAUAUGUGUAUCUCCAAGUCCAAGUCAAACAACAGCAGCACAUAAAACUACACACACUGCAGACACCAACUCAGGCCAAGAUAUUGCCCGACAUCUGGGAAAAGUUGCAAGAACAUCAAUGGAUUAUAUAAUUUUGCAGGGUUUGCAAGCACCUAAAGAGUGUGCUCAGCAUAUAAAAGACAACAGCUCCACUAGCCCAAACAAACUCUUCAUAGCAGCAGAAGGCAAAGCUACAAUUGAGUCAAUCCAAGAACAAAUGAGAUGUUUAUUCAUUUUAAGGUGGGCUCUGUUGGAGCAGCCAAUGUGGUACCAGUGUCAGUGACACUAAAAGGAAAAGCUUGGGUAGUAGAAAGUGAAUGGCUACAACUUGGGAUUUACGCCCUCAGUGUGAAUUAGCUCAGCAUGGUAUGAGAAUUCAACAUGCAGAUGAACGUAAGUUGCAGGAGAUACAGUGUGUAAUUCUACCAGGGAAAAGAGCACCUAAAAUUGAGUAAAAACCAGACCACGCUUAAAUGGGGCAGGAGAUGAAAAAAAUUAAAGAAGAAUUUAAGAGCGUCUUCCCUGGAAAAAGAACACAGGACUGGAAGGGGCUUCCUGGGCCUCUGUGCCCAUGCUCUGCAGGCAACAUUUUGUCCAAAGGGUCUACAAAACCAUCUGGUCUCAUCCCUCCCACACACCACAGCCACACAGUCCCUAAAGGAAAGGGAGAAAUGCACCAAAUGCCACAGUUACAGAGCAGAGGAGACAAGACCAUUUGACCUGCCACCGCAAUGGCAGACAAUUUGUCAGAGUAAGAUGUGGUCAGCAGAUCAGAGAAGAGGAAAAUUCCCAGAGUAGAGAACAAAGACAAAAGAGACUGACUGUGCCACAAUUCCUAACCCUGCAAAAGCUCCCUUUGCACUAAAGCAGAUGCUAAAGAGAGGAGCAGAACUGGCUUUGCUGCUCUGGGAAUCAUACUGCAAGUAAAGAAACUAGCAGAGUGGGCAGGUGCCCCCAUAUUGCAAAGAAACAACCUCUUGCUUAUGUAUGAACCCAAAAGUAUUAAAUAAAUAUAUAAAAGGGGAACAUUUUCCACUACCUAAAAUGAGGAAAAAUAUUGAUGGACUUGUUAUGUUAUAAAAGUUUUUAUGCUGGCAUUGCCAUUGAGAUGAUAGCAGGUGCUUUUCUACCUACAGAGGACAGGUUUAUGCAUAUUCCAAAACUGCCAUUUGGGUGUGCUAUGUGCCUGAGCUAUUUCAACUGGGAGAGAGAGUGCUGAGGUUUACAGUGUCAUUUCAAUUUGGGGAGAAACAGUAGAAGAGUAUGACCAGAGGUUCUGAACAAUCUGAGCUACACAAAUGCAAAUAUAAACUUUGUGCUAAGGAAUGGUCAUACCUGCAAGAGAGGGAUUAGCACAAUGUGUAUAGAGGAAUCACACUAAGGUUGAAGCCAUCACUGACCUGCCUGUCCCACCAAACCAGGAAGGCAUCUAGAUUCCUGUGAACAGUGAACCAGGUAGGGAAAUCUGACUUUAUUUAGCUGUCUGACUUGGCACACUGAGAUCAUCACUGGGCAAAGGUGUCCAAAAGACGUGGGAUGCAAAUCGUUGUAAUGAGAUUGAGACACUUAAAAAGUGAGAUAAUGAGGCCAUAGCGUGGAGAUACCGUCACUGGAAAAGUAAAAGCAAGUUGUCUUCACAUGCCUUCAAGGCAAGUAAUGGCACAGUCCCCUUACUGUUGUGUGGUCAGAAAUGGAGAGCAGUGGCUUAGGUGCUAACACAGUAUGUCAAUACAGUCAUGCUGAAGGCAGCUUUGACAUUAAUUUAUGGAGGGGAAAAAAGUUCAUGUCUUUAGUUAUGGGAGGGCCAAAUGCACUACACACAAAAUAAUUGCAAUGCUAGAGGAAACUGUUAAGGCCUGUUUCACAAGCCAAAAAUAUAGGCCCUGUCACAGGGAAAACCCAUGUUUGUGGAAUAGGAAAAACUGGCCACACUGGAACAAAAUAGGCAUAGAUUUGUUCACAUCAUUUGAAAGAAAAUCUAUUUGUCCAAGUGUUAUCCUCCCUUCCCUGAGAUAGCCCUACUUCUGCUAGAAGAUGCUACAGCUAACCAAGCGAUUGUACAUGUGAAGACCAUGCUAGAUGUAGUAUCCUUGGCACAGUACUGUCUGACAAUGGGCCAUAGUUUGGUGGGCAUGAACAUAAGUUGCUUGCAGAGAUGCCUGAGCUUGGCCAUGUUAUCACUAGUCCUCAUUACCCCCAACCCAACAGACUGACGGAAAGCAGUACAGUAACAAUCAAAUGCCUACUACUCCAAUGGAUUUCAGAGUCAGACUGAUCUUAUUUAGCACUGUUAAAUUACAGGCUAACACUAACAAGGCUGGGGUUGUUCUUCAGGUGAUGUUUCUCCAACAAACACCUGAAAUCACCAAAGACUGGCAGAGGUAUAAAGAGAGACAAAGCAAACCUGAUGCUAUAUCAUCCGGGAUGUAAGAGAUGCCACCAACUUAUGAAAACAAGACAAUACAUAUCUACGAUGGGAAAUGGUAGUCACAAAGAGAGUGCCCUGUGCACUCUGGCUGGUGGGUUUUUACGUGCUCCAGUCCUGUUUUGGCUUGGAAGGGAAGAUAUGGCACUGGGGACUGCACCUUUAGGGGCCGAGCUUCCCCAAGGAGCUAGAGGGGUUAUGUACAGCCAGAUGGAACCAGAUGCAGAAUAAAGCAUGGAGUGAUCACUGCACGACACUUUGGGCAGCCCAGAAGAGCAACCCCCACCCAGCCCUGAGCUCUAUUUACCCCUGGCCAAAUAGGCUGAAGAACAGUAUUCUCUGGUCACCACAUGCCUUUCCAUCCCAAAGUCCUUUCCUUUCUGAGUUUGGCAGAGCUUGGGAUAGAGAGGCUGUAAGUCCUAAAGCAGGGAGUGAUUUUUUUCCAACACUGCUACCUGGGACCUCUUGAUAGUACAUUGACAAUAUUUUAUAGAAGCAGGAUAUUAACUGCUGUGGUUCCCCUGCUUUCCCUGUGGCAGGUUAGGGUGUUAGGGUUGAGGAUAGUCUUAUGUAGAGUUUAGAUUAUGUUUGUAUGGGAUGUUGUGGAUAGGGAUGACCCUGCCUCAGGCAGGGGGUUGGACCAAAUGACCUCUGAGGUCCCUCCAAGCCCUACUUCUCUAUGACUCUAAGUGCCUUUCGAAGCAGAGCCCAAUUUGACCCAGUCAUGGCAAGCAAGAGCGCUGCAGUGCAUGCCAGGGAGGAAGCGGACGACAGUGUGCUGGAGCAUGCAUGGGGCAGGGAUGAUGGAACUUGCUCCCAAGAGGGCCUGAGACUAGUCAGUGCACCGUGAUUAAAGACCAAUUUGGGAUGUGAA